AUUGAACGCUGGCGGCAGGCCUAACACAUGCAAGUCGAGCGGAUGAAGGGAGCUUGCUCCUGGAUUCAGCGGCGGACGGGUGAGUAAUGCCUAGGAAUCUGCCUGGUAGUGGGGGAUAACGUCCGGAAACGGGCGCUAAUACCGCAUACGUCCUGAGGGAGAAAGUGGGGGAUCUUCGGACCUCACGCUAUCAGAUGAGCCUAGGUCGGAUUAGCUAGUUGGUGGGGUAAAGGCCUACCAAGGCGACGAUCCGUAACUGGUCUGAGAGGAUGAUCAGUCACACUGGAACUGAGACACGGUCCAGACUCCUACGGGAGGCAGCAGUGGGGAAUAUUGGACAAUGGGCGAAAGCCUGAUCCAGCCAUGCCGCGUGUGUGAAGGAGGUCUUCGGAUUGUAAAGCACUUUAAGUUGGGAGGAAGGGCAGUAAGUUAAGACCUUGCUGUUUUGACGUUACCAACAGAAUAAGCACCGGCUAACUUCGUG
rnacentral:rRNA from 1 species